rnacentral:rRNA from 1 species
CUGGCGGCAGGCUUAACACAUGCAAGUCGAGCGCACUCUUCGGAGUGAGCGGCGGACGGGUUAGUAACGCGUGGGAACGUGCCCUUCUCUAAGGAAUAGCCUCUGGAAACGGAGAGUAAUACCUUAUACGCCCUUUGGGGGAAAGAUUUAUCGGAGAAGGAUCGGCCCGCGUUAGAUUAGAUAGUUGGUGGGGUAAUGGCCUACCAAGUCUACGAUCUAUAGCUGGUUUGAGAGGAUGAUCAGCAACACUGGGACUGAGACACGGCCCAGACUUCUACGGAAGGCAGCAGUGGGGAAUCUUGGACAAUGGGCGCAAGCCUGAUCUAGCCAUGCCGCGUGAGUGACGAAGGCCUUAGGGUCGUAAAGCUCUUUCGCCAGGGAUGAUAAUGACAGUACCUGGUAAAGAAACCCCGGCUAACUCCGUGCCAGCAGCCGCGGUAAUACGGAGGGGGUUAGCGUUGUUCGGAAUUACUGGGCGUAAAGCGUACGUAGGCGGAUUGGAAAGUAUGGGGUGAAAUCCCAGGGCUCAACCCUGGAACUGCCCUGUAAACUAUCA